rnacentral:tRNA from 2 species
GACAGGAUGGCCGAGUGGUUAAGGCGGCAGUUUUGAAUGCAUCUGAUGGUGCCUCUCCAGCUGCUUCACUCUGUGAGCGUGAGUUCAAACCUCACUCCUGUCG